rnacentral:lncRNA from 1 species
ACUAAUCAGAUCUUGGUCUUGGAUAGUUGGAUGCUUUUAACAAGGUAUCACGACCUUACUGCAUUAUCUCAAAUAUUAUUAACCAAGUGCAUUGCUUAUUGAAUACAUGGUAUUGAUUUGUACAAAGGAGAAGCAAACUAAGGGAUCUUCUUUUGUUGAUCAGACAAUAGAAAACAUAAGAUGCAUAUCUGCAAAACCUGAACAAAUAUCAUCCAAGAAAAAGAACAAAAAUCACAUUUGCUCAACAUCCCGAUCAGUACAAUGGUCAACUACUCAAUGGUCACAAGAGCCCCAGAAGUGAAUAUACUUGCAAUAGAAAAAUGUCAC